rnacentral:miRNA from 1 species
UAAUGAUGAUGAUGUUGAUGAUGAUGAUAAUCAUCAUCAUCAUCAGUGUUU